AUGACUAACACUCAUGAGAUGCACCCCUUAAUAAAAAUGAUUAACCACUCGUUUAUUGACCUACCUGCACCAUCAGACAUCUCUGCAUGGUGAAACUUCAACUCGCUUCUAGAUAUUUGCCCGGUCCUUCAAAUCGGUACAGGGUUAUUCCUAGCUAUACAUUACAAGUUAGAUACUUCAACUACCUUCUCCUUAGUCACACGCAUUUGCUGAGAUGUAAAUUACAGCUGAGUUAUCCGCUACCUACGUGCUAGUGGGGCUUCAAUAUUCUUCAUCUGCCUAUUUCUACAUGUAGGCUGAGGCUUAUACUACAGAUCAUUCACCUUCCUAGAAACUUGAAAUAUUGGCAUUAUUCUUCUAUUUGCGGUUAUAGCAACAGCAUUCAUAGGUUACAUACUUCCAUGAGACCAAAUAUCGUUCUGAGGUUCAACAGUACUGACAAAUGUACUAUCAGCCACCCCAUAAUUGGAACCAACCUUGUACAAUGAAUCUGAAGUGGAUUCUCAGUUGAUAAAGCCAACUUUAUAUGAUUCUUCACUUUCCAUUUUAUCCUACCUUUUAUUAUCACAGCCCUAGUAGCCAUCCACCUCUCAUUCCUACAUGAAACAGGAUCUAAUAACCCCUCAGGAAUUUCAUCAGACUGACAAAAUCCCAUUUCACCCUAAUUACACAAUUAAAGAUAUUCUAGGCUUAAUUCCACUUCUCCUGCUCCUGCUAAUUCUAGUUCUAUUCUCACGUGACUUCCUAGGAGGCCCAGACAUCUACACCCCAGCAAACCCCCUUAGCACUCUGCCCCAUAUCAAACCGGAGUGGUACUUUUUAUUUGCCUAUGCAACCCUACAGUCUAUCCCAAACAAACUAGGGGGUGUACUAGCCCUUGUGUUUUCUAUCCUCAUUCUAGCAAUUAUCCCAAUACUUCAUAUAUCUAAACAACGAAGUAUGACAUUCCAACAAUUAAGUCAGUGUUUAUUCUGAAUCUUAGUGGCUGACCUAUUCACACUUACUUGAAUCGGAGAACAACCCAUCAAACACCCUUUCAUCAUUCAUCAGACAAACUGCAUUCGUUGCAUAUUUUUCUAUUAUUCUUAUUUUUAUACCAGUCACCAGCUUAAUUGAAAACAAACUACCUAAAUGA
rnacentral:lncRNA from 1 species